rnacentral:sRNA from 12 species
GGCUGCAACAACCCCGUGGGUGGGGACGUUUGAGCUAGCCGGAGGGAUUUCCGGUCAUCUCAAGGCGUCAGUGCAUCCACUGCAGUC